rfam:Talaromyces marneffei PM1 scf034, whole genome shotgun sequence.
GGCUACGUAGCGCAAUGGUAGCGCGUUGGUUUUCGGUUAUUUAAUGAAGUUCAUCUUCUUAAAGCCAUCACCAAAGGUUGUGGAUUCGAGUCCCACCGUGGUCG